GCUUUUUCUAGCAGUGGCAUCACAAAACUAUAGUAAGCAACACAAAAGAAGAGUUUGGAAGGAACAAUGCUCAUACUGUGUUUCAUUUCUUGUCAAAUAAACCGCCGAACACCCCACCGCCACCGCCGCCUUUCUUCUUAGCAGGGAUGGAGACGCUGGUGGUCGACUUUUUGGACCCGGUCGAGCCGGUGCCGGUGCCGUUGCUGGUGCCGCUCUUCUCCACCUUU
rnacentral:misc_RNA from 1 species